AUGUCGUUCCGCCGCGCCCUGGCGUUGGCCGCCUGCGGGCUGGCCGGCGGCUCUGCGCUCUUCUCCGCCGUGGCCGUGAGCAAGCAGCCGGCCCGCGGAGACGCCGAGCCUCGCCCGGGGGGCUCCGCCGCCGCUCCCCCCGCGCCGCAGGGCUUGCUGCUGCUGCCGCCCGCCGCCUCCUGCCCGCCGGGCCCGGGUUGGAUCGAGCGGCCCGCGGGCGGCGGCGGCUUCUGGGACAGCAACUGGGACCGGCGCGAACCGCUGGCUCUCAUCAACCUCAAAAAGAAGAACGAGGAGACGGGGGAGGAGGAGCUGAGCUCCCGCCUGGAGCACUGCAGGGCGAGGGCCACCCGCCACAUCUUCCUCAUCCGCCACUCGCAGUACAACCUGGACGGCCGCGCCGAUAAGGACAGGACGCUGACCCCGCUGGGUCGAGAGCAGGCUGAGCUGACGGGACACAGACUAGCAAGCUUGGGAUUAAAGUUUAAUCAGAUCAUCCACUCCUCCAUGACCAGAGCAACUGAAACGACUGAAAUUAUAAGCAAAUACCUCCCAGGUGUCAAAAAAAUUAGUACUGAUCUGCUGAGAGAGGGAGCACCUAUAGAACCAGACCCUCCCGUCUCCCACUGGAAACCAGAAGCUGUGCAGUAUUAUGAAGAUGGAGCUCGAAUUGAGGCUGCAUUUCGAAACUUCAUUCAUCGAGCUGACGUAAAGCAGGAGGAGGACAGCUAUGAGAUCUUUGUCUGUCAUGCCAACGUGAUCCGCUAUAUUGUCUGCAGAGCACUGCAGUUUCCCCCUGAAGGCUGGCUGCGAAUGUCUCUGAACAAUGGCAGCAUCACUCACUUGGUGAUACGGCCAAAUGGGAGAGUGGCCCUUCGAACGCUGGGUGACACAGGUUUCAUGCCUCCAGAUAAAAUCACACGCACCUGAGGAGUGAAGUUGAAUAGCAAAAUGUUGUGUCAGUUACCACUGCCUGGAACAGGAACACCAAACCUGUAAGAUGAAAGUUCCAUGCGCUGUGCAAAUAUUGCAGAGGUGCUAGAAAGUCUUCUCAAGGUCAAUGCUAAAAAGCUCCCUUUGAGUUUUGAAACUUCAGCAGUGUACAGCCAAAAUGAGUGAUUCUUUCAGGAGGCUAAAGAAGGAAUAACAGAAAUGGGUUCCCACGUCCAGCCUGGAGACACAGUGGCAGCUCAGAUGCGUAGGCCAGUAUCUGUAGUCCUCUCUUAGCAGCUGGGAACUGAGGAACUGUAUCAUGAGUCACUGGAGAGCACUGUACUGCAUUACAGACUACACCAUUAAGGUACAUUACUGGUAAACUUGCUGAAAUUAUUGCUGACGUGCUUUUAAUAACUAAUUAUUAUGUUCUGCAAAUGAGAAAAGCUGUUGUGGGGAAAAAGCGACUACUUUUAAUUUUUUUAAAUCUUCAAGCUACCACUGAAAGGAUUACCAGUAUUUCUACAGUGCCCUUUUACUAAAACACUCAUUACAUCAUGUUAACAGUCUCAGGUUAAGACUCAAGGUUUGCUGUGUAAAUACAUGCAUACAUCUAGAAGUAUGUGUGCAUAUAUAUUCGUGUGUGUGUGUAUUCAACUGUCUCCAUCAGCCUGCUGGCUGAAACAACUCCUUUCUGGCUAUGUUGAAGGGUCCCACAUUGGUACCCCACACUGGAACGCUGUCACCACCCAGGCUUUGUUGCAGGCUUUUCCAGUUGCACAUCCCCCCUGUAAGCAGAACAACAUUUUACAUCUUGCCCUUAAUUUCUUCUAGUAAGGUUUCUAGUAGGGUUUUACUGAUGUGCUUCCUUCAGCCUACCCAAGCAAAGAAAAGUUGCUGAGGGCUAAUGAGGUCGUUGUGCUAACGACAGCAGGUGACAGUGAAAUGCCACCAGCUCUUAGACAAGGUUCAGCUCAUUGCCCUGGGGGCAAGAAGGGAAAAGCCAUAGCUACUGGACAACUGCACUGACCUCACUAACUUCUUGCAUAUCACCAGGAAUCUGUCAUCUCCUAUAUGACAUAAAGACAUAUAUUCAGUUUUUGUAACAUACAUUUGUCCUCAAUUGAGGAAAAAUAAAUAGCCGAGUGCAAACCUCGUGUCACUUGAGUAGCAUUGUAGUUUUUUUCCUUCACUCUGACAAAGAAAAUUCAAUUAAAGUUUCAGGAAAACGAAACGUCGUUUAGUGGGCAGGAGGCUCUGAAAAGUAACGCAGUUUUAACACAGAGUGGUUGACACAGGCAGGACUGUAGCGGCCAGGGCUCCCCAGAUCUGGAGAGAACGAGGCAGCAUUGCCAUGGCUCCCCGGACUUCCCGUCAUGGGACUGCUUCUUCCUGGACUAGAAUACACUGCAGCAUUUGGUGGGCCAGCAGUUGCGCUUUGGGACCUGAAUCUUCCCUUUAGUGAUGGACUUGGCCAGCUGAAAGAAAGACAAAGUCAUUUUGCGUUACGAAUGGCAAAAAGAAGAGCAGUCAUUUUCCUCAGAAUCCCUUGCAGAAAUCGUAGAAAAAAAUGCACAAGCAGAGAACAACCGGAACGGGUCGUAGCUGGGAUUGAGAAGAAAAAGAGACAGCACAGUAUGUGCCAUUUAUUGAGACGUGUUGCUUAAUGAGUGAGAUGCAAUUUGCUCCAAAAUGGCCAUUAAGAAAUAGGUGUGUAUUUGUGAAGCAUCUCAAGAAAAGGCUUCAGGAUCUAAAUGUGUAUGUUUGGUGGCCCUGCUAGGCAGGGGGGUUGAAACUACAUGAUCCUUGAGGUCCCUUCCAACCCGGGUGAUUCUGUGUGAUUCUGUGAUCAAAGGUGACCAUGGCUCAGUCAGUGCCAGAGCUACCAGCAUGGAUAUGAUUUCUCUCCCCACCUUCUUUUGUCAAGUUCUCCUUGUGGUGGCUGCCACACAAGUAAUAAGAUAAGGUGGAUACAACAAAUAUAUUAAGGUUUUUAAUAUGUACGGAUGCAGGUAAUUUAAAACCUUUUGAAUUACUUUUAUCAGACAGCUCUGGUCUUUGUGUUUUGCUUUAGGCAGAGGUACCACUGUACAAUGAAGGAGCUGACAGAGCAAGCUUUGGCACUGUCAAAUAAUUAGUUCAAGGCAUAGUUUUUAAACAUUGUUAUGUGAUAGAACAGUGAUUACACCUAAAAGUCUUGCAUGCAGUUUUAGCACUUUAGAAGAACGCGUUGAACCUCUCAGACAUUGGAGUAAGAAUGAAAAAGAAGCCUAUUAAUUAGCCUAUUUCAUAAAAUUAAUCACAGCAGGCGGGGAACAAGAGAAUUUGACUCUGAAAAGUGAAGGAGUGGAACAAGGACACUGCAUCAACCAGGCAUAAGAAAUAACUGCCUAUCUAUCUCUACCCCACUGGAAAUGGAUGUUUUCUCCCACCAGUACUUAAUGGCUCUAUUUCAGUGUGCUCUUUGAAACACAGCCAGAAGCUGCUGUUUGUUUCCAAGUGCCUGGCACACACGCAGCUUGUCCUGCUCCUCAUCUGUAUCCCAAAGCAACUGCACUCAAAAUAAAAUGUAUAAAUGUGCACAGUACCUAUUCAGGCAUACCAACUACUGUUACCAUUAUUUGUGUAGCUUACAGUGACAUUCUUUCUAAAAACUGACCACAUUCUGUAGUUGACAUUAUUCAUUCCUUUGGAAUAGGGUCACAGAAUGUAAAAUAAGAUGCAUGAAAAUACUGAAUGAACAGCCCCCUGCACAUCAGCCCCUGAAAACAGUACAACAUUACUGUAUUGCAUCCACAAUGGAAUUACCACCACUGUUAUUGUUACUGCAUAAAUCCUUCCUUGGACCUAAUUAAUAAAUCAGCAACUUGGCACCUUGACCAAGGAGAAAACACUUGUGCUACUGAAAGCGUUGCUUUCUGUCUGUGUAGCCUGUACAGAGAUGCUGAGGUUACUAGGAACUGCAGCAUGCUCUGAGGAAUUUUGAUUGAACCAGUAAACUUUCCUUAUUAACAGAUACCAGCCAAAAUAUCGUGCUGACUAAUUACUGAAGCACACCUAUAGCUAAUGCAGUUCAGUAUUCCUAAUGAGGUAUUUCUGAGUAGUGAGGCCUGAAAUCCUAACUGUUGAAGCUGUUCUGCAGUUAGCCCACUGAAAACAAUAUUUCAGCUCAUUUGUUUGACUUUGCAGAAAUACCUUUGCCUGUCAGCUGAAGUGUAGGACUGCACCUUGUGUUUCCAUCUGUAAAUGGCAGGGUACUUCUGGGAAUCGAUCUGUACUGCUUCGAUAGCUGCCAAGACGUCACUGUCCAGCUUUGAUGGACGCUCCCUAGAAUAACACAGAACCAGAUGAAAGGAGAACUACACAUUUGUCCAGGCAGUGACAUCCCAAUUCCAAAGCACUUCUUAUUCUAAUAAAAGCAAACAAAUCGGCAGUGUUCCUCUCUGCACUUCCUUAGCUUCUCUAGGAACACUUCUCAGCAGACCCAGAAGUAAAUGACUGCCCAUUACUAUGCAGCAGCCUCAUUUGAAAAAAAAACCAAACCUCUGAACAUGUAAUCUGAGGACAUGCCAAGAGUGGUGAACACUAUAUUAAUCUAAGUCGGGCUCUCCACAAGGUUCCAAGCCUGGCAGGUGAAUGGUAAACAGCAGUCUGCUGCAACUGUAACUAGGAAACAAAGAGGUUCUUCUGCUCCUUGUGUUUUAGCUAGAGUUAGGUCAUUAACUGCAAGAGAACUACGUGGCUACUGUACAAACGUUGGAGUACUUAAUAAAUGAGUUGUUGCUUAGUAUCACAUGAUUUCAACCUUGCUGGUGAUGACAUUACAGUUAAGUAUCUCAUUUUGCAUAUACGGAACACAGGGCAGAAAUAAUACGUACCCAAGCAGAAAUAAUUUCGUAGAGUUGUCGUUUGCCAGUGAAGUCUUCAACAGAAAUUUCUGGGCAGGUUCUUGAGACUGUUGUGCCUCAUUAGGCUGGAUUCCAGAUUCCACAGACAAUCUUUCCCUUCCUGACUGCAUUUUAUAUUCUGUCCUUAGCUUGGUCUCUCCAGGCUUCCCUGUAACGCUUGGCUCAGAAGAACUCGCUGGUGAAGCUGCGUAGCAGGAUUUAUCCAGCCAGUCCUUGGGUAUUCUAACCUGGCUUGUUCUUUCAGGCAGAAUUCUCUCGUUCUUAAUUCUUUCACUGAUGGUAUUUGAUUCUCCUGCACCCGCUUGUGGCUGGAAUGUUAAGCUUUCAAAUUCUGACAUUAAAUUGCAAACAGGUGACACAAGGCAAUCUUCUCCGUCAUGCACAUGCUUUCUGUCACCAAUUAUCCUUUCGCUGGCCACAGGGUUACAAAAUCCAUUUUUGCUGGAAGAAACCCCCUUCUCAUAGUGCCUGGGCUGAGCUGAUGUUUCUAUGAUGUUUCUGGUGUGCUCCAUUGACAAGAUUUCACACUCAGCAUCUCCAAUAGCAUCAAUGCUGGGUUCCUUCAGCACAACAGGUGGGCUGUUAUUCCGUGCUGCGUUUUGUCUGUUUUUAAUCUCUUCUAAGCUCAUGUCAUCAUCAUCCUCAUCCAAAAACGCUCCAACAGAAAUAGAAUUGCAGCACUUUUUACUCUUGCCUGGAAAUAAUUUAGUAAGAAUAAUGUGUAAAAAGACUUGCAACUCCCAUCAAGUAAAGUGGGAACAAAAACACACCUUUCACCACAAAGUGUAAAGGAUUAUUAUUCUGUUUUAAGAAGUUACUUAUUCACUGUCUGUGGAUUACAAAAUUCCAUGCUCUACCAAGGAAUUUCCAAAUGCUCUGAGUAAAAAAUAUACUGCAAGUAGAGAGGUCUUCUUACAGGAAUUUCACUUAGGGGCUACAAUCACAUAAAGGACAUCUUCUGAGAGCUGUUCUAAUUCUCCCACAUCCAUGUUGUCCUUAGCUACUUUUUCAACAAUAUAAUCAGACUGUUUGGAUAACAGAUGAACGACAGCAACCACAACAGGUGAACAGUCUCCCUGGACACCGUGCUUUCUCCCCUCCCUCUUCUCCCUAGGUACACCCUGUUGUUUGUAACAUUUGCCCUGUCCUUACCAGAAGGAUGUGGCGUUUUGUGUCUGUUGCAGGUUUCAUUUUCCCCUGUUUCUUGCUGAGCCUUUUCGCUCAUUUCCCGAUGGCUCAGGUACUCUUCUAAUUUUCGCAGCCCCUCCUGGGAAGACAGAUCAACAAAACAGCCCAGAAAUUCCCAGUAUUCAACCCACGGGAACCCCAGUUCAUGAGCUAACUCCCUGCAAUAAAUAAAAUAAAACGAAUCAUUUGUGAAGACAUGAAUAUUAUUUUGACAAUAACUUUUUCUGAACACAUUUUAUCAGCUAUGAGCAGGAAUAUAAAUAUGCAAGUAGGCAACAGAAUUCUGCAACAAUCAACAGUCUGCAACAACACACAGUUGACACACACACAUUGUUACCAAGCAUGCUGUAAUCUACUUUUUCUAGACCAGUUUUCCAUUUUUUUCUUGUUUUUACAUUUAGCAGUGUACAUAUUGCUGGUUUUAAUCUGAUUGUAUCCAGACAUCAGACAGAGAUGAAUCCACACUAACGUAGGCAAAAUUUGAACAAGACUCCAUUCAGUAGCUUUUUUUAAUUGGGAAUGGAAGAAAGUAGGAGGGAGCAAAGGCUGACUUAAAGGAAGAAAUGCAGGGCACUUAUAGCAAGGUAUGUUUUCUGCAGGUGCUGCUGAUACAAAGCAUUUCAACAGCAAGGACACUGCAACACAGUUCAGUAAAGCAGAACAUUUGCAUUGGGAACUUUCCAUUCAGCUAUCUUUUAACAGGGGAAGUACCCUGUGCAUAGCUUUAAAUCUCCUGGGAUUUGAAUUUGAGAAAAACAUUCUAUACAUAUCAUCAGUAACAAUUUAAAUAUCUCUUUACUUCCAAAGCUGGACAGCCAAACCAGGUCCCAUGUUUUUACCUGAACUAUUCUGUUUAGACAGAAGUGCAGUAAAAAAUCCAACUGCAAUAUACUUCAUAAAAUAUUUCCAGCAGUAUUUGCCUAAAGAGUGUGUUUUACUAUCCAACUCAGUACAAUUGUUUCGCUUUUAAUUACUCUAUUGUUAAUUUUCUGUGCUGAUACUCCAUUAGAUACCUUCCAACUCUUUCAACACCUCUUUCCAGAUCAGAUUUCCUGACGUUGUGAAAGAAGCCAGCUCUGUCUCGGGGUGGAGUCUUCCACAGCCUGCGAAAUUCUUCAGCCUUUAAAAA